AUUGAACGCUGGCGGCAUGCCUUACACAUGCAAGUCGAACGGUAACAGGUUAAGCUGACGAGUGGCGAACGGGUGAGUAAUACAUCGGAACGUGCCCAGACGUGGGGGAUAGCUCGGCGAAAGCCGGAUUAAUACCGCAUGUGAUCUGAGGAUGAAAGCGGGGGACCGUAAGGCCUCGCGCGUUUGGAGCGGCCGAUGGCAGAUUAGGUAGUUGGUGGGGUAAAGGCUUACCAAGCCUACGAUCUGUAGCUGGUCUGAGAGGACGACCAGCCACACUGGGACUGAGACACGGCCCAGACUCCUACGGGAGGCAGCAGUGGGGAAUUUUGGACAAUGGGCGAAAGCCUGAUCCAGCAAUGCCGCGUGCAGGAUGAAGGCCUUCGGGUUGUAAACUGCUUUUGUACGGAACGAAAAGGCGCCUACUAAUACUGGGUGUUGAUGACGGUACCGUAAGAAUAAGCACCGGCUAACUACGUGCCAGCCGCCGCCGUAAUAC
rnacentral:rRNA from 1 species